CCAAACUCACACAGACGUUGGAACUACCAGUUGUGCGGGAAGGAGCUAUCCACUUUGGGUCUCCUCAACGUUGGGACAACCUGUCAAUGGAAAAGAGCUACCCACUUCAGGUCUCCUCAGAGCUGUUCUGUCACUCCAUGAAGCUCCUCUCCACCUUGUUAAUCCUCCAGUUGUCUGCAUACCUCAUUCUUCCUGGACGCAGAACAACAACUCGGGACCCACUGAAUGAUUACUUACUUUGUGGACUCCACCUGCUAUCUCAUAAAGACACUUAAGCAGCAAUGUGGAGAGGUACACCUGAAAAGUAACGGAAUCCUUACGUCAGUAAUCUGCACUAAUUUGCCAGGUAAGUGAGUAAGCCAUCUUGAAAGCAGAUCUUCAUCUCUGUCAAACUUCCAGGUAACUGCAAACCCUAGCCAGCAUCCUGAUGGCAAGCUCAUGCAUGUGAGGUCAUACAUGUUUACUGUUUUUUUAUUCUAAUUUUUGAAGUAAUUUUCUAUGUAGCAUUAGAUUAAAAAUGCAGAUUAUUUUAUUCCAGAACUUCUCAAAGGCUUUAAUGUGCUGAUGUGUAUUUCAAUUUAGAGGAAAGUUUUACAUUACUCUGAGAAAUACAAAUAUUUUUAACCAAACUACUCAUUUCUCAACUGUAUUUCUUGUAAUAUGUAAAACACUCUGCAUAAAAAGAUGGUGUGUAUAAAAGCCAAUAUUAACUGGUAGCUAAUAUGUUCUAGUAUUUUUAUAUGCAUAAUAUAAUUGAAUCCUCACUAAGGUAUUACAAUGUAUUAUUUAUCCCAGUUAGCACUUAGUAGUAGUAAGGCUAAAAGAGAAGAAGAUUUUUCCCCUGAUAAGCCACAGUUGUUUUUCAUGGCAGUGGGGUUUAAAUGCAAGAUUUACUUAAUACAAUUGCAUAGGUGACUGAAGAGAUGGAUUUGCAACUAACUAGCUUUGGGUAUCAGUUUUUGUAAAUUAAAAUGAGGAAGCUGACAUUUUUGAUAUGUAUGCACUUUUUAAGCACCAAAAUUCUGUAGUUGCACUAUAUGAAUUGAAAAGCAGAAAAAAUAUUUUAUUAAUAUUCCAUCUCAACUUAGUAAAAGUAUUAAAUUUUUAAAAUAAUGUCAGGUUUACAAUGGCAAGAACCCAUUAUUUUGAAUCACAAAUAGUGGUUUUUAAAUUACUACUCCAACUAGCUACAUCAGAUGCUUCCGUAGCAAAUAAAAGCAAUUCUGGUAAUAUAACUGAGAAACUUACAUUCUCACCUAAGUAAUUAACAUUUAACUCCUCGGUCUGGAGAGGGAUCCAUGAAACAUAGAUCUUCCAAUAACUAAACAAAAUUAUAGUUCUAUUUUGUAAGCAAGGAAUUUUAUUGGAGGAGCCUAAUUAUUAGGCAACCAGUAAUGUCUGCUGAAACGAGAAUAUGAAAUAUAAAACGUUGAGCAUUACACAAUUUAAAUAUUCUGUUUUCUUCAGUGUCCUUACAUGUUAAAGGAGAAUUAUGCCUACCUUAAAGAGCUAUUUGAUUAUUACAUUGGGUAGUGUGAUUUUUAGUGUGCCUAAGGAAGAUCUAUAUAUGUAAAAUGAAUUUAUAUAUACAUGCAUGGCGUGUAUUUAUGAAUAAAUUAGUAAAUAAUUUUUGACUUCUUUAUUAAUGGAGACUGGCUUUUACUUCAAUUAUUCUAAACUGGUAAAAAUGGACUCUCUUGGAGAUAUUAGGAUUUAACAAGCUAUAUGGAAAUUUUAGGAAUACAUUUUCUCAAUUUGCAUAUCCUUCUAUUUCCAUAAAAUCCCCCAAGUCCUUAAAUACACCUAAAAUACAAGUUUAUCUUCAUGCCAAAUUUUAUUUAUGUCCUUUACUUUCAUUUUGAAACAGCUGUGACGUGAAAGCACAGGUUGCUACCCUGCUGCAAAAAGUUCACUUGGGCAUAGUUUUAUUAUCAUCCAUGAGGACAGGUGGUUCUAAAGUAGCCUGACAGUUCUGUACACCCAGGAGGAUGCAUAGCAAAUGUGCCACUACAUAGUGAGUGGAACAUGAACUGAAAAGAGAUUGGUGCCAACAUUAGAAAGUGGCUGCUGUUGCUAUUAGAAACACAAUUAUGAAUUCCUGUCUUGAAUAAUAGAAAUGCUGUUUCAAAAUUACUACAUCUAAUGAGAAGUCAUACAUUGUGUGUAUUUAGCUUAGAGAAGAAAAAAUUCCAUGGACUUGAUAGUAUCAAGUUUUAAGGGAUUUUGUGAAGGACUGCUGGAGUGACAGUAUGCAAGCAGUAAAAUGUUUUGUCAGGCAUUGGAUUAGCUCUCUUCCCAGUUGAGAAACCAGGAGAUUGUUUUCAAUCUGGUUGUUUCUAUUUUGCUUAGAUACCUAUACUUAGUAACACCUUGAGGUCUUAUUUAUAUUCUGGAAUUUAAGAACAAGAAUGUAAUUUAUUUAGAGAAAUUAAACCCACAGCAUUUCAUGAACUAAAUAAAACUUGUCAAGCUAUCUUAAGAAUAUGUAAGUAUAACCCAUGAAAAUAAUUAGAAAACAUUAAGCAUAUAAACUGGUCUUACUCUACCAAUCCUUUUAAAAUUAUUCUCUUGAAAUCCAGAGGCAGGAGUGUCCACAAGCCUAAAUUUUAAAAAUGGAUAAAACACUAAUUCUACAAGCAUUUUUUAAAAUAAAAUGUCUUUUCCUUUAAGAUUGGCUAGAACAGCAUACUAUAUGGUCCAGGGAAGCACCAAACAUUUGCAUAUUAGGCCGGUUUAGGCUUAUUCAAAAGAGACAUGUUCAAUAUUACUUAGGAGAGCAUUGCUCAAACUUACAAAUUAAUAAUUUAAAAUUCACAAAAUAAUAAUUUUAUUCAUACCACCUUUAACUCCUUGAAAGAACCAUUUAUACUCCCAUUUUCUCUAAUCAGACCAUCGAAUCUGUUUUGUGGGAACCAUCAAUGACCUUCCAGUUGUUAGAUAGGUAUUUCUCUAAUCUUCUAUGACAUCCAAGCCCCAUCUAACAUAUUCAGUCACUUAUUUCACGAAAACAAAAACAAAAAUUACCUCACUUCUGGGACUCAUUCUCCUGGUUUUCUUCUUGCUUCCCUGGUCAUUUCUUCUCAGUCUCCUAUGCAGAUUCCUGAUUUCUGAUAGAUCUCUUAAAGUUGAAGUGUCCCAGAGCUCAGUUGUUGGACAUUUUCUGUUCUUUAACUAUGAUCAUUAAAAAUCCCAUUUAUAUGUUGAUUGUUUAUAGAUUUUGUAUUAUCUCCAGCCUGAAAUCAAUACAUGUUUGUUGAACUGUCAUCUCCUCUUGUAUGUGUAACUGAUACCCCUAAUACAACAUGUUUAGCAGAACUAUUAAUCUUGUCUCCAUAAACCUGUUCCACCUGCAAUUCACUUUGUCUCAGUUGUUAGCAACUUCAUCAAACCCCAAACUUGAGGGCCACCUUUUAUCUCUCUCUUCUACUCUCCUUCUCUCCUCUGCUCUUUCCUUCUCCUCCUUUCUCUCUCUUCACCCAACUCUGGAGCAAAAUCUAUUGGCCAUUCUAGUACAAGUAAUCAUCUCUUGACUAGUGUACUCUAAUUACUUCCUACACAUCUCUCUGAUUUUGCUCUUUGAUUCUAAAAGAAUAUUCUGGGCAGAGCAGCAGGAGGUAUCCCAUUAAAAUCUGAGUACAACAGGUCACUCUUCAGUUAGAACCCUGCACUAGUUCUUCAUUUUACUCAGAUUAAAAGCCUGCAUAUGCUCUGACCUUAUAGAGUCUAACCUCUUAGCAUCUUUUUGACCUCAUCUUACAUUUCUGCCCUUUAUAUAUUCUACUGAGCCACUGUGGUUUCCUAACUGUUCUUUGAACAAUCUUUGUGUGUUCUGUGUUAGUGUCCUUAUAUACUGGAUUAUUUUUCUGCCUAGAACUCUUCACCCGUAUAUUUUUCUGCUAAUUUCUUCAUAUCUCUCAGGUCUUCAUUAAAAUUCCACCUCUCAUUUCACUCAGCCUUCUCCACUCUACUACAAUUAUAAUCUGUGCCUUUACAGAAACACUACCAGUUCCUCAUACCCUUUUUUAUUUUUGGUUUUUAUUAUGCUUAUCAUUUUGUGAUAAUUCAUAUAUUUUAUUUAUUAUAUUCAUUUAUUUUUUGUCUUAAAAUCUAAGUUUAAUGAGGGUAGGAAUCUUUGUCUGUUUAGUUCAUGGGUAUAUUUCAAGAGCAUGUAAUAGUACCAAGUGCAUGAGAGAUGAUCAGUAUGUAUUUGUUUGAUAAAUUAACUAAAAUUAUUAUUUAACUUAAUAAAACUUCUCUAAGAGAAAAAUAAAUGUUUUCUACAAAAUAAUGAAUGUAUAUCUAACAAUGCCAAUGGCAUACUUCCUACUA
rnacentral:lncRNA from 10 species